AUCCCACCUCUUUAAAGUUGUAAGUGGAAAAUUGCAUAGGCUCGCAGGCUUAGGAGAAUUGUCUGGUGGGCGAUGACCUCCAUUUGAGAAUUUGACCCAGCAUCCACCUUUGCCCCUGUCCCAGUGGCUAUUCUACCCUAGUGGUCAUUCAGUUCCUGGCACUUGCAUUGUCCUCAAGCAGGAUUUUGGCUACCUCUCUUCGCUAAUCACACGUCCAGCUCUGCGGGCGCCCCCAACUGCUUCUCAGCCAGGACGCCCAGCUCCACCGGUCCAGGCAGUCUGGGCCCCAGUGUCUCUGGGAGGAUCCUGCUACCUAAUCCUUCUCUACCCAAGGGACUAGAAGAGAAUCUUUGGUCUAGGCUAGGCUCCAUGGGGGGCCAAGACCCUGGCAGCAAGUGGUCGCUCAGCCUGGGCGGAAAUCCGCCGAUGCCUUUAUUGCUGUCAUUUGGCGCCCCCAUCUGUUUUCCUCGCGGUUUCAGCAGCUGUGAGCUGCUUUUCUGUCGCAGAAACCUCAGUGGCCUAGGAAGAUUUCUUACCUUCUUCUACGACCCACCGCCUCUGGUUCCAAAAGCUGGCCAAGUACGACUCCACUCUACUGAAAAUGAAAAAAAAAUCAUUUCUCCGCGACACCUUCAUUCAUUAGUGGUUUUGAAACUACCUUGCACCUUUUAAGUAACACUGAUACUGCAUUUCCAGGAUGUCUAUUGCCCCACAUAUACUUGUGAUCUUGUCAGGGAAACUACCUCAAUGAAAAACAUCCAUAACUUUUCACUGCCCUUAGCAGAGGAUAGCAUUUCACAGUGACUAUUCCAUUUGAAUAGUUAAUGUUCCUUUAGAACAUUACCUAUUACUAGUAAUAAUAUUGACUAAUUUGUAUAACUCAUUUAGUAUACAAUUACAAGUGGCUUUUUACAUAGAUCUACCUUCUGAAGACCAGAGAACCCCUGGGGAAUUGCCCCGCCCCUUUAAGGAAACCUCCUACACAGAGAGCUUUGGUAAUUGUUCAUGGUUUAUACUUAUCUCCAAUAAUGGAUGUCAUGGGGGGUUGAAAGUUUUGCAUAACCGCUUUUUUUUUUCUUCAUGUUACCUGUCUUAUUUAAAGGCAGGCCUACCUCAAAAACAUUACACCAGUGGAGGAGAGAGAGAGAGAGAGAGAGAGAGAGAGAGUUACAUUUGUUGAAAAAAUAGUCAUUUCAUAUCCUUUCCAGAAAGGAGAGGAUGAAAUUAGAAAUGGACCCAGUUUUCAGUUUCUGAUAUCUUCAAAGUACCAUCACCAAGAACAAGAACACUCAGACAAAAAUCUAACCCAAACCCCAUGCCUUCAAAGGGCAUCUUCCACCUAUGCGAAGGGCAUGCCAAAUUUUUAAGAUUGGGAGUGAGGUGACAUACAGGAAAAAAUUUCUCUGUAUUACCCAAAAAGAACAGUUUUGCUGGCAAGAAUGAUGUAAACAAAGCAAGGGCAUUUUCUUUUCCUCCUUUUCUUUUUCUCCUUCCUUCCUUUCUUCCUUCCUUCCUUCCUUCCUUCCUUCCUUUCUUUCUUUCUUUCUUUCUUUCUUUCUUUCUUUCUUUCUCCUGGGGUGGGGUUAGACUGCCAAACUAAGUAUUUGUUUCUUGUAAACAGUGAACAUUUGACCUGUGACUUCAGGUUAAAACUUGUUCUAGACUUGCAGAGGGAUGGGUCAAGAGUAAAGCCCCGUCGAGCAGCAACAGGGCCACGGGAUGCGGUGGUCUCACCCAGCUCUGGGCUUCCCGGUGGAAGAUGCCAGCCACCCGUUCUCAACCCGAAGUAAGUCUCAAGCUCGCUGGAGAACUUAUGGGAGUGCAGAUGUUGUGAACGGGCAGUAAACACCUGCAGAGUCUGAGCUGCGGGCAGGGCAUGUUUUCUUUAGGCUAAGUGUGGUCUUCAGGACCAGGUUUCGAUUUAUAAGAGAGGGUGAGGGUUGGACUAACCAAGCCAGUCUUCUAGGCUUCCUACUCUCAUUUCUCCUCAGGCAAGCCUCUAGCUUUCUGCCUCGCCUGGGUCAGCUCAUUUAAUUUAGUUUUCCUUCUCCCCUCCACCUUCAACUCCAAGUUACCCUAGAAUGGUUGUAAGUGAGGGAAUUGGUGGCUACUUUCUUCCUGGACCCCGAGGCUAAUCAGAUUUGCCAACUGCCAGGAGUUUAAUGUACCCUCAGAUCAGACCCAAGAACUUGCAGGGACAUCUAGCGCCAAGCGCGGGGAACUGCGGUCGCCUUUCAGGGAUCCGGAGCAUACCACUGGCAUCCUUUGCCAGUCUCUCAACUCCUUCUACAUUUUUAGGCAUUUUCCUACCCUUCACCCGCUUUGCUUCGCUGCUAUGCAUAAUGUGGCUUGCCCGUGGAGAAUGUGAAUUAUUUGAAAUGGUAAUAAGCUUCUAUUUGACUCAUAGAAUAAGCAUUUAGCAAGUUAGAAAAGUUGUUUCAAAAUGUCAGACAAAAUAGCAAAUUGCAAUCUUUGCUUCUAUUUAGGAAGAAAGAAAGAAGUUAUUCGGUCCUUAAGCCCUGGCCCUACCUUCUAGAGCUCUCUAGAAAAGCUCAGCAUUUCUCUGGAAGGGAAGACCCUGCCUGUUUCCUACAGUCCACAGUUGGAGGUGGUCUCUUCAUCUCAAAUAGGGCCCUGCUGCCCAGUGGGAGGCAAACUCAGGAUUUUUUUUUUAAGUCACCUGGUAUUUAGAGGGGCGGGGGGUGUUUGUUGUUGCCUGAGAUUUUCAUUAAAUAUAGGCUAAUUUUGUUGCUAAACCCAAAAGGAUUCCACCUUUUAGAUUUAGAAAAUGCCCCAAACACAGGACAUCUGGCUGUUGCUAGAACCUGCCUUAUACACAAAAUGUUGUGAUUCUCUUGGGGUUUGCUUCAUAUUUUGUUUGCUCUGUUUUUUUUUUUCUCAGCCUGAGUGAAGUUGAUUAUUAGCUGGAGAGGAAAAAUUAGCUCCAGAGCUGGCAGACAGACAUGGUCAGGAACAAAAACCAGCCAGUUCUUCUCAACUUAAGACCCUGCUUCUAAACUGAGACGUUUUCUACUGAAUCAUUGGUUUCUCAAAAGUUAAUUAAAAGGGUGUUCUGUAUUUCCUGGUUGUGGUCAUCAAGGUAAAUACUUUCAAAGGCAUCUCCCACAACCCUUUUCUGGCAGGAUCCUGCCAUCCUGGUUGUAAUCGUCAUCAAUUGUGUUGUUAAUUGAGCUCAUUGCUGUCUUGGUAAACAGGACACUUCAAUAAGUCUAAGUCAUAGCCUGUAUCCAUUCAUUUUUCCAUCCCCAAACAGAUGUACAAAUUGUGAGAUCUACAAGAAAGAACAGAGGCUAUGUCUGUCUCCAGCACAGAUUCAAUACUCAGUGGGGCGCUUGAGGAAGGAAAGAAGAAAGAGAAGCAAAUGGAGAGACGUGGAAGGGGAUUGGGGCAGCAAAGGACAUCAUGGCCUUUCACCCAAAUCAGGAAAUGUAGCUUUUUUUUUCACAGAACAAUAGAGCUUAUUUUCAGAAGGCAGUGACGCUGAGUGACAAGCUGGACUUAGUAUUGCACGUUUAGGGGAGUGAUUUUCUUAAAAGAUAAACUGGUCUGAAGGUUGAUAGUACAGCAUCAAACUGGCCCACUUUGAGGCUCACGCACCCACCCAGCACUCUUGACUAACCAAGUCUAAAAUAGCUCUCAGGAGACCGACCUAGAUUCAAAUCAGAGCUCACAAGGACGACCCAUAAGUUGUUAAGACUCUGUGAGAGGAGGUGGAAAUACAGAGCGAUUAGAGCCACCCUACCUAACUCUAUCUGGUAUUAGCUCCUCCGGUACUCACAACUAGAGCCUACUCUGUCCCUAUGAAGUUCUAUGAACUCGGACUGCGCCUGUCACCAGUCCGGACUUUACUUGGUGGUGGUGGGGGGGGGGGGGGCGGACAGAGAGAGAGAGAAGAAGAAGAAGAAGAAGAAGAAGAAGAAGAAGAAGAAGAAGAAGAAGAAGAAGAAGAAAAGAGAAGAGAAGAGAAGAGAAAAGAAAAGAAAAGAAAAGAAAAGAAAAGAAAAGAAAAGAAAAGAAAAGAAAAGAAAAGAAAAGAAAAGAAAAGAAAAGAGACGAGAAGAGAAGAAAGGACACCCCCUUGACUUGACACACUCAAUUCCCUGCUGUUGGCAGCCUGGAAAAGGAAGCGAAACAAAGGUCCCUGGGAAAGUGAAGUUUUCAAUUAAUUGGUGUGAGUAACGGGCGGGGGUGGGUGGUGGCUGCAAAAAGCUAGAGGCCGGUAUGCUGUGGGCGAGGCGCAGAAGAUUCGUGGCACUCUAUUGAGUGGCUUUCUCCUCCCGCGCUGGUACGGAGUCUUUUGGGCUGGGCAGGAGGAGGCCAAGCUGAAGCUAAGGCCAGCCUGGCAAAGUGACUGCCGGCUGGCCAAGAGCAGAGACGUGAACCGAACAUCUGUGGACUUCCUAGUUGCGCCGAUUGUCAGGCUUGCGGCUUCGAGAUGAAUUCUAAGUCUCUGAUGCUGCCCCAAGACUGUUUCGUGAGUAUUUUUGUGGGCCGAUGGUGCUGUAUAGGAAGGAUCUACUCCGACUGAUGUCCUAUGUGUGGAAUACUUUUACCCGUUCGUUAGGUAUGUUCAAGGUAGGAUGAGCUGUCUCGAAUUUGGGGUGACGCGGUAGACUAAGGAAAGAUGAGCAACAGGUUUUUAAAAAUA